rnacentral:misc_RNA from 1 species
UUUCCGUAGGUGAACCUGCGGAAGGAUCAUUAAAAAAUGUGGUACCAUUUGUUGGUACUAAUUAAUCAUCCUACCCUUUGUGAAUUUGUUUGUAACGAAUUUUUUUAAAUGGGUCUUUCCCUAAGUUGGAUUGUAGUAAAAAUACAAAAAGACUUAGGGGAAUGACUUUUUUAAAAGACUUUUUUUUUAAGUUAAAACUUUUUGUAUUCAUUUGUCUAAAAUUUAUUUUUAUAAUAUAAAAACAACUUUUGACAAUGGGUCUCUUGGUUCUCGCAACGAUGAAGAACGCAGCAAAAUGCGAUAAGUAGUGUGAAUUGCAGAAUACGUGAAUCAUCGAAUCUUCGAACGCAUAUUGCACUUUUUAGUUUACUAAAAAAGUAUGUCUGUUUGAGUAUCAGUAAAAUAUUCUCACAAAACAAUAUUGUUUGUGGUUAUGAGUGUUUUACAACGAUAAACAAGUUGUUUCACUUUAAAUUCUUUUAUUGAAGUUUAUACCAAUUACAAAUUUAAAAUUGGAUAAAAUUUUCCUUUAACGAGGAAUAACCUAAACAAUUUUAAAUUUUUGGUUCGUAAAUCCCAUGAAGGAAUCUAUACACAAUAACUUGAUCUCAAAUCAGAUAAGAGUACCCGCUGAACUUAAGCAUAUCAAUAAGCGGAGGAAAAGAAACUAACAAGGAUUCCCUUAGUAACGGCGAGUGAAGCGGGAAGAGCUCAAAUUUGAAAUCUUCAAGGUUUGACCUUGACGAAUUGUAGUUUAUAGAAGUGUUUUCUGUUGGAGUUUUGGUAAGAGUUCUUUGGAAUAGGACAUCAUAGAGGGUGAGAAUCCCGUAUUUGACCAUGACUUUCCAGCUGUGUGAUACACUUUCAAAGAGUCGGAUUGUUUGGGAAUGCAGUCCAAAAUGGGUGGUAAAUUUCAUCUAAAGCUAAAUAUUGGCGAGAGACCGAUAGCGAACAAGUACCGUGAGGGAAAGAUGAAAAGAGCUUUGAAAAGAGAGUUAAACAGUACGUGAAUUGUCAAAAGGGAAGCGUUUGACACCAGUGUUGUUUUCUCGAAAAUCAAUUUAAUGAGUUCUUGUUUUUAAGUUAUUGUGACUUUAUCAGCGCAUUUCUUAUUUUACUUGACUCAUUGAAUGCACUUUUCGUUUAACAAGUCAACAUCAAUUUCUUUGGUGGUAAAAAGUUUAAAGGAAGGUGGCUUGGACUUCGGUUCAAGUGUUUAUAGCCUUUUUUCUAUGCCAUCGGAGAGAUUGAGGUCUGCAGCGUAGAUCCUUCGGGUUAGAUACCUUUGUGCUAAGUUAUAGUUUUUUAUAGACAACUUGUUGACUAUAAUUAACCCUGUAAUUUACUCGCUUAGGCUAUUUUACCUACGCUUAGG